AUGAUUACACAUUUAAGCUGUGUCCCAAAGUUGAGUGUGCACACUUCGAAGGCCACGGACUUCGAAGACCAACUUUAAAUGCUUGGAGCUUACUUGAAUAAUGUAAUGAUACAUACGAAAAACUACAAAAUACACACAUAGCAGUUCAAAUGCUGACUGAUAUCUUACAAAGGUGCAAUUUUAUGUAGUUUAUUGUCUUGACCAUGUAGACAGGUUUGCAACCCGUAUUUUUUUAGGCAGUUAACCAUAAAAAUAAAACUGUAUUUAAAAAAUAGAGCAUAGUACAGCUUAAUGUCCAGCAGCUUUAAAUUUAAUAACCUUGAACAUAUUUAGAAGUAACUGCAACAUACACAGAAGUGCAGCAGUAUUAUUAAUGUAAAACCAUCCUGACAAAUUCUCUUUUUCAAGACAAUACUGCACAUACCUUUACUUUUACUCUCAAUACCUGAAGUAUAUUAGAGUAUGCAAGAUAAUACUUUUACUUAAAGGAUAGUUCAGCCAAAAAUUAAAAUUGUGUAAUCAUUUACUCACCCUUCAGUUGCUCCAGGUUUGUAAUUUAUAUUUUUGUGUGAACUAUCCCUUCAGCUAAAGUUGUAAAUAUGACUAGUAGUUUUUCCCCUAUAUGGUAUUGGUAGUUACUAAAAGUAGUUUACUAAAGUAUGUCAAUACUUCUUGUACUAAUUACGUUGUCAUAGCUCUAAACAAUUUCUCUUUUCCUUCUUUCCCUAAAUCAGACCAGACCCCUGUGCAGGAUAAAGCUGAAUGUGCCAGUGCUGGACAGGUGUUUAAUGGUUUUGUUCUGAGCAGGGAGACCCUGACUGUGCUGCUGGAUCUUCUGGGAAGUGAACGGCAACAUGGAUGGUGUGCCACGAUCCAGACCCUGGUGUUUCUCUUCUGUCUGCCAGCGAGAGCAGCGUGUGACCGCCAUCCCCACCAGCCACGGGAGAGCACGGCCCCACACUGCACCAGCGCACCGACAGCCAAGACGCCGAGCACCGAGCACCAAACCGCCUCAUCACCACUUUCCCAUUGA
ensembl:lncRNA